AUUGAACGCUGGCGGCAGGCCUAACACAUGCAAGUCGAGCGGAUGAAGGGAGCUUGCUCCUGGAUUCAGCGGCGGACGGGUGAGUAAUGCCUAGGAAUCUGCCUGGUAGUGGGGGAUAACGUCCGGAAACGGGCGCUAAUACCGCAUACGUCCUGAGGGAGAAAGUGGGGGAUCUUCGGACCUCACGCUAUCAGAUGAGCCUAGGUCGGAUUAGCUAGUUGGUGGGGUAAAGGCCUACCAAGGCGACGAUCCGUAAAUGGUCUGAGAGGAUGAUCAGUCACACUGGAACUGAGACACGGCCAGACUCCUACGGGAGGCAGCAGUGGGGAAUAUUGGACAAUGGGCGAAAGCCUGAUCCAGCCAUGCCGCGUGUGUGAAGAAGGUCUUCGGAUUGUAAAGCACUUUAAGUUGGGAGGAAGGGCAGUAAGUUAAUACCUUGCUGUUUUGACGUUACCAACAGAAUAAGCACCGGCUAACUUCGUG
rnacentral:rRNA from 1 species